rnacentral:piRNA from 1 species
UCCAGAAUGGGCCAAGUGACAUGUCACCA